GAUGAAGAACGUAGCGAAAUGCGAUAAGUAGUGUGAAUUGCAGAAUUCAGUGAAUCAUCGAAUCUUUGAACGCACAUUGCGCCCCUUGGUAUUCCAUGGGGCAUGCCUGUUCGAGCGUCAUUUGUACCUUCAAGCUUUGCUUGGUGUUGAGUGUUUGUCUCGCCUCUGCGUGUAGACUCGCCUUAAAACAAUUGGCAGCCGGCGUAUUGAUUUCGGAGCGCAGUACAUCUCGCGCUUUGCACUCAUAACGACGACGUCCAAAAGUACAUUUUUACACUCUUGACCUCGGAUCAGGUAGGGAUACCCGCUGAACUUAAGCAUAUCAAUAAGCGGAGGA
rnacentral:misc_RNA from 1 species